rnacentral:rRNA from 1 species
AACGAACGUUAGCGGCGCGCCUAACACAUGCAAGUCGCACGAGAAAGGGCUUCGGCCCCGGUACAGUGGCGCACGGGUGAGUAACACGUGGGUAAUUUUCCUUCGAGUGGGGGAUAACGUUCCGAAAGGGACGCUAAUACCGCAUAAGACCACGACCUCGAAAGAGGAUGUGGUCAAAGCAGGCCUCUAUACAUAAGCUUGCGCUUGAAGAUAAGCCCGCGGCCCAUCAGCUAGUUGGUAGGGUAAUGGCCUACCAAGGCGAAGACGGGUAGCUGGUCUGAGAGGAUGAUCAGCCACACUGGAACUGAGACACGGUCCAGACUCCUACGGGAGGCAGCAGUGGGGAAUCUUGCGCAAUGGGCGAAAGCCUGACGCAGCGACGCCGCGUGAGUGAUGAAGGCCUUCGGGUUGUAAAGCUCUGUGGGGAGAGAAGAAUAAGUCGUAGUGAAUAUCUACGAUGAUGACGGUAUCUCCUUAGCAAGCACCGGCUAACUCUGUGCCAGCAGCCGCAGUAAGAC